GGAAGUAAAAGUCGUAACAAAGUUUCCGUAGGUGAACCUGCGGAAGGAUCAUUACUGAGUGAGGGCCCUCUGGGUCCAACCUCCCACCCGUGUCUAUUGUACCAUGUUGCUUCGGCAGGCCCGCCUCGCGGCCGCCGGGGGCUUCUGCCCCGGGCCUGCGCCUGCCGAAGACCCUCUGAACGCUGUCUGAAGAUUGCAGUCUGAGUGAAAACACAAAAAUUAUUUAAAACUUUCAACAACGGAUCUCUUGGUUCCG
rnacentral:misc_RNA from 1 species